GGUCUGAUUAUGGCUCGAUUGAACGCUGGUGGAUGCCAUACAUGCAAGUCGAACGGCAGCACGGACUUCGGUCUGGUGGCGAGUGGCGAACGGGUGAGUAGUCGUAUCGGAACGCUCUAGUAGCGGGGAUAACUACAGCGUAGCUACUGACCGCAUACGCCUCCUUCGGGGGAAAGCGGGGGACCUUCGGGCCUCGCACUAUUAGAGCGGCCGAUAUCGGAUUAGCUAGUUGUGUGGUAACGGCUCGGCAUCAAGGCGACGAUCCGUAGCUGGUUUGAGAGACGACCAGCCACAUUGACUGAGACACGGCCCAGACUCCUACGGGAGGCAGCAGUGGGGAAUUUUGGACAAUGGGGGAAACCCUGAUCCAGGCCAUCCUGGGCGUGGGAAGCGAUGAAGGCUCAACAAAGAAUUUUAAAAGAAGAAACGGCACGGGACACGCUCCCUGCAACUGACGGUACCUUGCAGAAUAAGCACCACACCACGUGCCAGCAGCCGCGGUAAUGGCGUAGCGGGGCGUUAACUGGAAUUACUGGGCGAAGUGCAAGCAGGCGGUUCGGAAAGAAAGAUGUGAAAUCCCAGAGCUUAACUUUGAACUGCAUUUUUAACUACUGAGCUAGAGUGUGUCAGAGGGAGGUGGAAUUCCGCGUGUAGCAGGAAUGCGGGAGAUAUGCAGAGGAACACCGAUGGCGAAGGCAGCCUCCUGGGGAUAACACUGAUUGCUCAUGCACGAAAGCGGGAGUAAACAGGAUUAGAUACCCUGGUAGUCCACGCCCUAAACGAUGUCAACUAGCUGUUGGGGCCUUCGCCUUGGUAGCGCAGCUAACGCGUGAAGCUGACCGUCGGGAGUACGGUCGCAAGAUUAAAACUCAAAGGAAUUGACGGGGACCGCAUAAGCGGUGGAUGAUGUGGACGACCUGGAUGCAACGCGAAAAACCUUACCUACCUUUUGACAUGUUCAAAUCCUGAAGAGAUUUGGGGAGUGCUCGCAAGAGAACCGGAACACAGGUGCUUUAAGCAUGUCGCUCACUCGUGUCGUGAGAUGUUGGGUUAAAGUCCUACAACGAGCGCAACCUUUGUCAUUAUUACAUGAAAGGGCACUUAAUGGGAGACUGUUGUGACAAACCGGAGGAAGGUGGGGGAUGAUUGCCGAGUCCUCAUGGCCCUUGCGGGUAGGCUUCGCACGUCAUACAAUGGUCGGGACAGAGGUCGCCAACCCGCGAGGGGGAGCCAAUCCCAGAAACCCGAUUGUAGUCCGGAUCGCAGUCUGCAAAUCUGACUGCGUGUCGGAAUCGCUAGUAAUCGCGGAUCAGCAUGUCGCGUGAAUACGUUCCCGGUCUUUGGUACACACCGCCCGUCACACCAGCGGAGCGGGUUUUACCAGAAGCAGUUAGCCCAACCGUAAGGAGGGCGAUUACUACUGGUAGACUAUGACUGGGGUGAAGUCGUAACAAGGUAA
rnacentral:rRNA from 1 species